CUACAAUAACACCAUUUUAUUGACAUAAGGAAGGGUGUAUGGAGGUGACGAGAUUGAUAGCCACAGUCCUCACCAUUCUAACCCCUACAUGAAUUGGUGAAGCUGUACAAAAUCACCAAAUAGUCACCACAAGGAAUAGGGAAACACGUCAUGCUACUGAAAGGGUUAAAUUGAUACCUAUUAUCAUUAUUCUCUUAUCUCUGUAAUAACAAUCAUCAUCAGCAGCUAUUUACAAACCUAACGACGGUAUUUUCGUAUAGGACUACCUACGUACUGACUGCAUAGGCCUAGGGAAGAGGAAAAGCCUAUUAGACACUCAGACGAAAAGAAAACGAAAGUAUGUGAAACGUGACAUAUGAGACGUGGGAAGUGAGCGAUCAGAUUCAGUGCGCCGCCGGCAGUCACAGGGGGAAGAUGUGCGCCGCUCCCCUCUCCUCCUCAUACUACCUCCACACCCGUAUACAUUUUGAUACAUAGCGGUGUUGUGUGUAUACCUGGAAGGGUCACAAGUAUACAUAAGGUGCGGAAGGAAGAAUUACAACGGAGGAAGAGAGAGAGAGAGAGAGAGAGAGAGAGA
rnacentral:misc_RNA from 1 species